rnacentral:tRNA from 1 species
CUAGACAGGCGGGCCUCGAUCCCACAAAUUUUUAAUUAACAGCUAAAUACCCAAUCCAGCGGGCUUCUGUCCG